GCGCCGGUGGUGAAAUUGGUAGACACAACAGGUUUAGGUCCUGUCGGCCGCAAGGCUGUGGAGGUUCGAGUCCUCUCCGGCGCACCA
rnacentral:tRNA from 1 species